rnacentral:rRNA from 1 species
UACAGAGGGGGCAAGCGUUGUUCGGAAUUACUGGGCGUAAAGGGCGCGUAGGCGGCCCGCUAAGUCGAACGUGAAAUCCCCGAGCUCAACUCGGGAACUGCGUCCGAUACUGGUGGGCUUGAAUCCGGGAGAGGGAUGCGGAAUUCCAGGUGUAGCGGUGAAAUGCGUAGAUAUCUGGAGGAACACCGGUGGCGAAGGCGGCAUCCUGGACCGACAUUGACGCUGAGGAGCGAAAGCUAGGGGAGCAAACGGG